rnacentral:rRNA from 1 species
CCUACGGGAGGCUGCAGUGGGGAAUAUUGCACAAUGGGGGAAACCCUGAUGCAGCGACGCCGCGUGAGUGAAGAAGUAUUUCGGUACGUAAAGCUCUAUCAGCAGGGAAGAAAUAGCGACCUUUGGGUCGCCAGACGGUACCUGAUUAAGAAGCCCCGGCUAACUACGUGCCAGCAGCCGCGGUAAUACGUAGGGGGCAAGCGGUAUCCGGAUUUACUGGGUGUAAAGGGAGCGUAGACGGCAGCGCAAGUCUGAAGUGAAAUGCCGGGGCUUAACCCCGGAACUGCUUUGGAAACUGUGCAGCUAGAGUACGGGAGAGGUAAGUGGAAUUCCUAGUGUAGCGGUGAAAUGCGUAGAUAUUAGGAGGAACACCAGUGGCGAAGGCGACUUACUGGACUGUAACUGACGUUGAGGCUCGAAAGCGUGGGGAGCAAACAGGAUUAGAUACCCCAGUAGUC